rnacentral:rRNA from 1 species
AGUGAACGCUGGCGGCAGGCCUAACACAUGCAAGUCGAACGGCAGCACAGUAAGAGCUUGCUCUUACGGGUGGCGAGUGGCGGACGGGUGAGGAAUACAUCGUAAUCUACUUUUUCGUGGGGGAUAACGUAGGGAAACUUACGCUAAUACCGCAUACGACCUACGGGUGAAAGCAGUGGAGCUUCGGACCUUUCGCGAUUGAAUGAGCCGAUGUCGGAUUAGCUAGUUGGGAGGGUAAAGUCCCACCAAGGCGACGAUCCGUAGCUGGUCUGAGAGGAUGGUCAGCCACACUGGAACUGAGACACGGUCCAGACUCCUACGGGAGGCAGCAGUGGGGAAUAUUGGACAAUGGGCGCAAGCCUGAUCCAGCCAUACCGCGUGGGUGAAGAAGGCCUUCGGGUUGUAAAGCCCUUUUGUUGGGAAAGAAAAGCAGCAGGUUAAUACCCCGCUGUUCUGACGGUACCCAAAGAAUAAGCACCGGCUAACUUCGUG